rnacentral:pre_miRNA from 1 species
ACACAAAUCACCAAGUGGUCUUGUUAAAAUGCAUAUUCUGAUUCUGUAGGUCUGGGUGGGACCUGAGAUUCUGAAUCUCCAAUAAGCUCCCAGGUCAUGCAAUG